GGUCCAUCUCCCUGAUUAUCUGCUACCUGAUUUUAGCCGAUCCAUUCUCUCCAGUCUUCGCCAGUUUGUUGUGAAACGCCUUGCCAUGCUCACCUGACCUGUCCAGCCUCACCUGUCAUCUCUGAGGAUCACCUGCCUUGGAAAUCGUCUUCUGUUUCAUCACCUGCACUCUCUUUUGACAUUAAACAGUUUAUUUUUUUUUUUUAAACCAC